rnacentral:lncRNA from 1 species
AGUAUUUAUUACUGAGUCCAACACAGCGUGUGUAAAACACGCGAACACCCCUCUACGUGCGAUCCCACGCGAAACGGUACAUAAAAUAUCGCGACUUUCGCGAAAAUACCGUUUUGCCACUACCGUCCACUCCGCGAUCAACGCGCGAUCUCCGCAGAUCCGUCCGUCAGAUUUGCGAACGGAUUGCACCAGUGCGAUCAGCACCUCGGAGAUAACAAAGCUACAAUUUCGUUUCGUCUCGAUCGACCACGGAUUCACGACAAAAUCCAACCUUUCGUUCCAAUCGAAAGAAACACACAAAAAUACAUAUAAAACAUGUAUUUUUGGAUUUUCUCGAAAUCCGUGAGUCAAACUCAAAAUCCGUCAGCGCCAUUGGUUCCAGAAUAGCUGACCCGGUUGAAACGAGCUAUUGGACUGCUAUGAACAGAGUUCGGUACGAGCCAGAAGCCAACUUCUCACCGCGGCUUCUCCGGAAAAUCGAGUUACUAUUCACUUUAAGUGAAAUUUGGAAAUCGCGUAGAAUUUCCGUUUUAACUCGUUUUCGCCCGAAACUUGACGAGUACUUUUGUAAUUAAAUUACACACAAAAACAUCGUCAACUAAGACUUUAGCUACACUGCAAAAAUCUCAGUCCUUACAUCAUUCCCCCCUUAAAGGAAGUUUCGUCCCCGAAA